rnacentral:tRNA from 1 species
GGGCAAUUAGCUCAGUUGGUUAGAGCGUCACGUUUACACCGUGAAUGUCGGGGGUUCUAGUCCCUCAUUGCCCACCA